GACGAACGCUGGCGGCGUGCUUAACACAUGCAAGUCGAGCGGAAAGGCCCUUCGGGGUACUCGAGCGGCGAACGGGCGAGUAACACGUGAGUAACCUGCCCCAGACUUUGGGAUAACCCUCGGAAACGGGGGCUAAUACCGGAUACGACACAGCUUCGCAUGGGGUCUGUGUGGAAAGUUUUUCGGUUUGGGAUGGGCUCGCGGCCUAUCAGCUUGUUGGUGGGGUGAUGGCCUACCAAGGCGACGACGGGUAGCCGGCCUGAGAGGGCGACCGGCCACACUGGGACUGAGACACGGCCCAGACUCCUACGGGAGGCAGCAGUGGGGAAUAUUGCACAAUGGGCGGAAGCCUGAUGCAGCGACGUCGCGUGAGGGAUGACGGCCUUCGGGUUGUAAACCUCUUUCAGCAGGGACGAAGCGUAAGUGACGGUACCUGCAGAAGAAGCGCCGGCCAACUACGUG
rnacentral:rRNA from 1 species